GUGCACCAGGUCGGCCCAAGUCUCCCACAGAGGGUGAACAAUGUAGUCAAUGAAGCCAACCUUGAAAGGAGAGAACAGCAAGGGGAAAAAAUUACAUCUUUAUUUCUGUGUGUAGAGUUCACAUUGAUUAA